GACGAACGCUGGCGGCGUGCUUAACACAUGCAAGUCGAACGGAAAGGCCCUGCUUUUGUGGGGUGCUCGAGUGGCGAACGGGUGAGUAACACGUGAGUAACCUGCCCUUGACUUUGGGAUAACUUCAGGAAACUGGGGCUAAUACCGGAUAGGAGCUCCUGCUGCAUGGUGGGGGUUGGAAAGUUUCGGCGGUUGGGGAUGGACUCGCGGCUUAUCAGCUUGUUGGUGGGGUAGUGGCUUACCAAGGCUUUGACGGGUAGCCGGCCUGAGAGGGUGACCGGGCAAAUUGGGACUGAGAUACGGCCCAGACUCCUACGGGAGGCAGCAGUGGGGAAUAUUGCACAAUGGGCGGAAGCCUAAUGCAGCAACGCCGCGUGCGGGAUGACGGCCUUCGGGUUGUAAACCGCUUUCGCCUGUGACGAAGCGUGAGUGACGGUAAUGGGUAAAGAAGCACCGGCUAACUACGUG
rnacentral:rRNA from 1 species